rnacentral:rRNA from 1 species
CCUAAAUACUACCCAGUGACCGAUAGCGUAUAGUACUGUGAAGGAAAGGUGAAAAGGACCCCGGGAGGGGAGUGAAAUAGAACCUGAAACCUUGUGCCUACAAGCACAUAGAGCACAUCAACGUGUGAUAUGGUACUUUUUGUAGAACGGUCCGGCGAGCGAUUGUAUGUUGCGAGCUUAAGGUCUUAAGGACUGGAGGCGUAGCGAGAGCGAGUCUGAACAGGGCGUUCAGUAACAUGCAAUGGGCCCGAAACCGGGUGACCUACCCAUGAUCAGGCUGAAGUGAAAGUAAAAUUUCAUGGAGGGCCGAACCGACCUCCGUUGAAAAGGCGGCGGAUGAAUUGUGGGUAGCGGAGAAAUUCCAAUCGAACUCGGAGAUAGCUGGUUCUCCCCGAAAUAGCUUUAGGGCUAGCCUCAUAUUAGAUACCCGGAGGUAAAGCACUGAAUGGCCUAGCGCCCGAGAGGGUAGCGAAGCCUAUCAAACUAAGAAUGCCGGAGUAUUGAUGUAUGGGAGUCAGACAGUGUGAGAUAAAUCUCAUUGUCAAAAGGGAAACAGCCCAGAUCUACAGCUAAGGUCCCAAAUUGUAUCUAAGUGGAAAACGAUGUGGAAAUACGCAGACAACCAGGAUGUUGGCUCAGAAGCAGCCACUCAUUUAAAGAGUGCGUAAUAGCUCACUGGUCGAGCGUCUCUGCGCGGAAAAUUUAACGGGGCUAAGAUACAAACCGAAGCUUAGGCUGCACGUAAGUGCGGGGUAGGGGAGCGUUGUGUAAGCGGAGAAACAGUAGCGUAAGCGGCUGUGGAGUUUACAGAAGUGAGAAUGCCGGAAUGAGUAGCGCGAAUGUGGUGAGAAUCCACAUGGCCGGAAACCUCAGGUUUUUGGAGGAAGGUUCGUCCGCUCCAAGUUAGGCGGGAGCUAAGGUCAGGCCGAAAGGCGUAGCCGAUGCACAGACGGUAGAGAUUCCGUCCCCACCGAAAGAUUUAAGCACAGGGACACUUUUUGAAGGUCGGAGCCAGGUGUUGGUUCUGGUAGUGAUCGAGGGAAAUAUAGUACCGAAGUCCGGCUGGAAGAGAGGCGAGAAAAGCUGUGUGUAUAUCUAAGGUGCCCGUACCGCAAACCGACACAGGUAGGUAGGAAGAAGAUUCUAAGGCCAACGGGAGAAGGGUUGUUAAGGAACUCGGCAAAUUGACCCCGUAACUUCGGGAGAAGGGGUGCUCCAGAGAUGGAGCCGCAGAGAAUCGGCCCAAGCAACUGUUUACCAAAAACACAGGUUUGUGCUAAAUCGAAAGAUGACGUAUACGAGCUGACGCCUGCCCGGUGCUGGAAGGUUAAAAGGAGAUGUGCAAGCAUUGAAUUGAAGCCCCAGUGAACGGCGGCCGUAACUAUAACGGUCCUAAGGUAGCGAAAUUCCUUGUCAGGUAAGUUCUGACCC